UACGAAGGGGGCUAGCGUUGCUCGGAAUCACUGGGCGUAAAGGGUGCGUAGGCGGGUCUUUAAGUCAGGGGUGAAAUCCUGGAGCUCAACUCCAGAACUGCCUUUGAUACUGAAGAUCUUGAGUUCGGGAGAGGUGAGUGGAACUGCGAGUGUAGAGGUGAAAUUCGUAGAUAUUCGCAAGAACACCAGUGGCGAAGGCGGCUCACUGGCCGGAUACUGACGCUGAGACGCGAAAGCGUGGGGAGCAAACAGG
rnacentral:rRNA from 1 species